rnacentral:rRNA from 1 species
AACGAACGCUGGCGGCAGGCUUAACACAUGCAAGUCGAGCGCCCCGCAAGGGGAGCGGCAGACGGGUGAGUAACGCGUGGGAAUCUACCGAGCCCUGCGGAAUAGCUCCGGGAAACUGGAAUUAAUACCGCAUACGCCCUACGGGGGAAAGAUUUAUCGGGGUUUGAUGAGCCCGCGUUGGAUUAGCUAGUUGGUGGGGUAAUGGCCUACCAAGGCGACGAUCCAUAGCUGGUCUGAGAGGAUGAUCAGCCACAUUGGGACUGAGACACGGCCCAAACGCCUACGGGAGGCAGCAGUGGGGAAUAUUGGACAAUGGGCGCAAGCUUGAUCCAGCCAUGCCGCGUGAGUGAUGAAGGCCUUAGGGUUGUAAAGCUCUUUCACCGAUGAAGAUAAUGACGGUAGUCGGAGAAGAAGCCCCGGCUAACUUCGUGCCAGCAGCCGCCGUAACAC